AUGGGCGCAGCCUGAUGCAGCGACGCCGCGCUGCGGGAUGACGGCCUUCGGGUUGUAAACCGCUUUUGACUGGGAGCAAGCCCUUCGGGGUGAGUGUACCUUUCNAAUAAGCACCGGCUAACUACNUGCCAGCAGCCGCGGUAAUACNUAGGGUGCAAGCGUUAUCCGGAAUUAUUGGGCGUAAAGGGCUCNUAGGCGGUUCNUCCCGUCCGGUGUGAAAGUCCAUCGCUUAACGGUGGAUCCGCGCCGGGUGCGGGCGGGCUUGAGUGCGGUAGGGGAGACUGGAAUUCCCGGUGUAACGGUGGAAUGUGUAGAUAUCGGGAAGAACACCAAUGGCGAAGGCAGGUCUCUGGGCCGUCACUGACGCUGAGGAGCGAAAGCGUGGGGAGCGAACAGGAUUAGAUACCCUGGUAGUCCAAGGGCGAAUUC
rnacentral:rRNA from 1 species